rnacentral:ncRNA from 1 species
CAUAGGUUUGGUCCUAGCCUUACUAUUAAUUUUGGUUAUAUUUAUACAUGCAAGUAUCAGCCUUCUAGUGAAAAUGCCCUUUUAUCUAUAAAUAUAAACAGGAGCAGAUAUCAGGUACUUAUUAGCCCAAGACAUCUUGCUAAGCCACACCUUCACAGGAAUUCAGCAGUAAUAAACAUUGAACAAUAAGCGUCAAAAAAAGCUUGAUUCAGUAAUAACCUUAAAAGUCGGUAAAUCUCGUGCCAGCCACCGCGGUUAUACGAGAGACUUCAAUUAAUAACCACGGCUCAAAGGGUGGUUAAAAAUAAAUAUAAUAGGAUUAAAAACUAAUUAAGCUGUUUUACGCAAUCAUUAACCCUAAUACCAUUGACGAAAGUAAUCCUAAAUAAUGAACCCACGAAAAUCAAGAUACAAACUAGGAUUAGAUACCCUACUAUGCUUGAUCAUAAACUUUGAAUCAUCCGCCUGAGAACUACGAGCUACAGCUUAAAACUCAAAGGACUUGGCGGUGCUCUACACCCACCUAGAGGAGCCUGUUCUAUAAUCGAUAAUACCCGAUAAACCUCACCAUUUAUUGCCAAUACCGCCUAUAUACCGCCGUCGCAAGCUCACCCUUCAAGGGGUAUAACAGUAAGCAUAAUGAUAAACAUAAAAACGUCAGGUCAAGGUGUAGCAUAUUAAAUGGGAAGAAAUAGGCUACAUUUUCUAUUAGAAAAUACGAAAUACUUAAUGAAAUUAAGUAUGAAGGCGGAUUUAGUAGUAAAAAGAAAAUAGAGAGUUCUUUUUAAAUUGGUCCUGGAGCGCGCACACACCGCCCGUCACCCUCCUCAAAUAUCCAAUAAUGUUAAAUAAAUAAAAUUAAAAAACAAGAAGAGGCAAGUCGUAACAUGGUAAGUGUACCGGAAGGUGUACUUGGUAU